rnacentral:tRNA from 1 species
CGGGCCGUAGCUCAGCGGUACGCCCUCGGGGCGCGCCAGAGAGCGGCCGGCUGUAGACCGGCAGGUCCCGGGUUCGAAUCCCGGCGGCCCGACCA